GACUAUUUUGUCAACGUGGACCAGUACGAAGUUGGAUUAGCUGCUAAUCUCAGACGAAAAAAACGGCACCAUUGCGACAUUACUACUUGGUUUGAGGAAACAUAAGAAGGCAGCCGCAUGAGAUGACUGGUGGAUACAUCAUCACCACACGGCCGCUCUUCUGCCUGUGAGCGUGCUCAGCCGUGACCACAGCCACGAUGAUGUCUUUAUGAGGCCUCCCCGAGCCACCAGGAAGAGGACAAAGACCAGUUUUGUCAUGACAGAAGCCUGCAGACUCAUUUGGUGCGUCCUGUCCCUCCAAUCCUCCGGCGAAUGUGUGGCGCGUCCGACAGAUGAAAUCAUUGGAGCCUGCAGACGAGUCAUCACUGCAGCUGAGUGGAAG